GUUCCACUGCUUGUCACUUCAUCUCCACUUUCUGCAGAAGGGCAGUGACAUAUCUCAAGGCCAGAGAAACAAAGGUCUGGGAAAUUUACAAACCACACAUUCAUCCCUUGAAUCGUAUCAUGUCUAAGACAAAGUAUGGGUCAAAGAGAAAGGGUAAUCUUCUGUUGAUGUUGGCUUUGCUUUUGUUUUAUUUCAUUUUAUUUAGAAUACCUUGUUUAGAAUAUGAGUGCUAUACUUGUAUCCCACCAAGUAAAUACCUUCUGUACCUCAAAAGAUUUUUUUAUUUGAUAGAAGUAACAAAAGGGACAAAAUCGCUAAUAUGUUCACUCGUGAGAUUCUAACCCUGCUCUACCCUUUGCUUCUUUGCAGUUAUAAAAUGUUUUGCCCCAGAGCCACCAAGACCAUGAGCACACUUUACCCUCCACAGCCACUUUGAGGCCAAACAUAUAUUUUAAAAAGAAAGAAAGAAAGAAAAUUUCCAAAGUGUUAAUGAUUAGUCUAGAUUUCUGAGGAGUAUUCCAGAAAGACAGAUGUUAUAUGGCACAGCAGUUUGACUAGAAAACACCAACCACAAAGUCCUCCUCUCUGUUUACCACAGGUUCUCAAAGUACCCAGGUGGGGCCCACCCAGACUAAUAGAAUCUGAAUUGCUGAAAGCGAAACUCAGGUUUGCCCGUUUUAAAAACUCCCCAGGAGAUUCUAAUGGGAAAUUAAGGUUGAAAACCACUCUAGCCUUUCUCCUCCCCCACAUCUCUUUUCUUGUGCAAAACAAUUUAGGUCUCUCCUUGCUCCUCCUCCUCUUUACCUCACUCAGCAAAACAAGGUUUCUCAUUAAGGUGCAUCCUCCUUAGAAGGUUAUAGGUACCUCUGCCUCAACAAACUCCCUGAGGUGUCUCCACUCAUGUCUCCAAGCGAAAGAGAUCGUCCUCCGCCGAGGAUAAUAGAACAUACAGACACUGUCUCACUCUCAUCCUCGAUCAACUGCUGCAGCAGGGCAGAACAAAACAGAUACAUGGGAACUCCAUGUGGAGAAGCAGCCUUGAUCACCAUCUACUCAGGCCUGCUCAAGGAGACUGGGCAGUCUAAGAUCCAGUGGACCGAAGGAAAGACAAAAAGAGGCUUCCAGCCACCUUCUUUGAGCUACUAGACUAGAAACUCCAAGAUUUGUGUUAUUUAUUAUGUGCCAAUGAACAAUCUAGUCUAUGCGUUGAAAAAAUUGAAGAAAGCAAGUUCUCAGACAAACUGAUGACAAGAAAUGUCAAGAGCCUCAUUUCAAGUUUGCUGCAAGGACAGAGCCCUCUGAGCAAGUCAUACACAAGUAAUUCUCGAAAGAAACAUCUAUGAAGAAGUAGAAAGGGAAAAAAGAAGACUAGAGGAAGAGUCGAAUGCAAAAGAGAAAGAAGGAGGAAGUGUUAAAGAAGAUGAAUAAAGGAUGGGUGAAGAUUGUGACCAACCAGCUUUCCAGAAGAGGUCCUCAUCUCAGCUACAUCUAUCAAGCCUAUGAUUAGGAAUGCUAAUUACUUCCCAGAAGAGGCCCAGCACCUUUUAAACUAUGGAAAAAUAGUUCUGCCCCUUGCCCAACUUGGGACCAUAUUCUUUCUCAUUGUUUUCGUCUUCUCUAUCCAAAGCCAGUAAACCCCACCAAGUUUUCUAUUUUCCAAAGAGAGAUGAGUACUACCCCUUCACCACAAUGCUUCAAAGUGAUAGCC